rnacentral:rRNA from 1 species
CCUACGGGAGGCAGCAGUAGGGAAUAUUGCUCAAUGGGGGAAACCCUGAAGCAGCCACGCCGCGUGGAGGAUGAAGGUUUUAGGAUUGUAAACUCCUUUUGUUAGAGAAGAUAAUGACGGUAUCUAACGAAUAAGCACCGGCUAACUACGUGCAAGCAGCCGCGGUAAUACGGAGGGUGCCAGCGUUACUCGGAAUCACUGGGCGUAAAGCGCGCGUAGGCGGGAUAGCAAGUCAGACGUGAAAUCCUAUGGCUUAACCAUAGAACGGCAUUGGAAACUGUUAUUCUAGAGUAUGGGAGAGGUAGGUGGAAUGCGUGGUGUAGGGGUAAAAUCCGUAGAGAUCAAGAGGAAGACUCAGUGCGAAGGCGACCUGCUAGAGCAUAACUGACGCUGAGGCGCGAAAGCGUGGGGAGCAAACAGGAUUAGAUACCCCAGUAGUC